rnacentral:lncRNA from 1 species
CCUGGGGUUCUGUGAUGAGUCUGGUGGCCUGGCCCAGGUUCCGUUUCUCUCUCUGAUACUGGGGACUGAACCCAGGGGAGCUGUCCCACUGAGCCACAUCCCCAGCCCUUUUCACUUUUAAUUUUGAGACAGGGCCUCUCUAAGUUACUGAGGCUGGCCUUGACCUUGAGAUCCUCCUAUCUCAGCCUCCUGAGUUGCUGGGAUAACUGGCAUCUUGGUGGCCGCCGCUGUUUCUGUGUCUUUCUGCUGGGGAUGUGGCAUUCCCCGUCUUGGCUUUGGGUUUCUUACACACUGUCUCCUUUGUCUGGGCCUCUUUUCUUUCCUUGUCUGCUCCUGCAUCCCCAGGGUGAAGGGUCCCUGCCUUGAGAAAGUCUCAGGCCCAGGUGGUCAGCCAGGGUCACUGACUGGGUGAGGGAGAGCCGCCACCUCUGGUGGCUGGUGUGCAGUGUGUCCUUGGCCUCCUGAGCCGAGGCGUCCUUCUCCUGCCCCAUCAGUACCUGGUCUCCGGCCUGCAGGUGGCCAAUGGGACUCCUCGGCUUCCGCCAGCGUGUGGGCCACUUGUCAAACACAUUUUCUCUUAAAGCUCUCUCUCUGUCCCCCCUGGGGCUGCUUCCCUGGAGAACACGCAGCAGUCCCUGCAGCCUGGUAUGGCCCAGAGGAACAGCUCUGUGAAGCUCCCCGGGGCAGGGGGACGCCAAGCUACAGGGCCUCCUGUUUCUCCUCAGAUCCCAUGCAGUCAUGUGGGCAGGGGGGGGGGCAUCAGCCAGUGACACCAGGUGAGGGGCCGUGAGCCGGACUGCACAUGUGCAAGGCAGAACAAGGGGAGGGACGCUGCUUCUCGAAGUCACUCCUGAGGAGGCAAAAGCCCACCAGCGUCUAUUAAUAGACCCAGUUAAUAACCAGCCAAGGUCAAUUUUAACAGGAAGAGCCUCUGUAGAGGCCGGCGUCUGGGCUGGGCUCCUGUCUGCUGGGCACCCCCAGCCCCAGAGCCUGCCGCCUGGAAGCUCCCCUGCCCCAGAGCCCCCCGCCCUGGGUGCUCCUUAAAGCCACCAAGUUCACCUGCUCCUCAGGGCUGUACCUCCGGGUCCUGUCCCUCUUCCCUCUCUGCCGACAGGGUUCUGUACAAAUGCUGUUCAGAGAGGGCUGUCUGGCCUGGGCUACACACAGCACCGGCCCCAUCCCCACCUCUGUUCUCUAAGACCCCAACCCUGUCGUGCCUGACUCAUGGGGACGGUUGAGAACCAGCUAGCACUGUGCAUGGACUGGGGAGGCAUUUUCUUUUCUUUCUUUUUCCUUACUCUAUCCAGCUCCCCCUUCAGUCUAGAGGGGAAGUCAGACAAAGUAAAUAAUUAUUUUUGUUGUUAAAAAUAUUUCAAAUAAACGUGAAUGUUGACUUCUCUGUCCGCCCACCUGGCCCUUCAGGUGAUUCAGGCCCUUCAGGUGGAUAAGGGAGGGGACAGUGGACCACUGAGUCCCGGGCUCACGUCCUCUCUGGAUGGACCAUGCAGGCUACUACCGAGCAGCUCCUUUACUGGGUCAGGUGACAGUGCUGACAGCCACAGGGGGCUCUGGGAGCAGUGAGGAAAGGCUUUGCACCCUGCCCAGUGGGGAGGACCAGGGAAGGCCCCUGGGAGGCCACAUCCCAGAUCUCCAGGGAGCUGGUGGCACACCCCUGUGAUCCCAGUGGCUGGGGAGACUGGGGCAGGAGGAUCUGAGCUCAGAGCCACACACACCCAGUGAGACUCUCUGUAGCCCUCUCAGGUGUCCUGUUAGUCCGCUUUCUGUUGCUGUGACCAAAACACCUCACAGGAACAACUGGGAGGAGGAGAGGUUUACUUUGGCUCCUGGUUGACUGACUAGGCUCUGGGCCCCAGGGGGGCCAGAGCUCAGGGCAGAAGGGUGUUGGAGGGAAGCUGCUCAGUUCAAGGCCACCAGGAGGGAGUGGGAGGAAGAGGCAGAGAGAGGCCUGGGGGAAUACUGCUGGUUGCAGAGCAGGCUGGACAAUGAUAGCCGCAGGGCAGCCUGGACACUGACCCUCACCGUCUGGUUCCUUAUGGCUUGUUUGCCUCAAGGCUGAACACUCCACCCCACUGACCCCACGCCACCCCCACCUGACCACAUCUGACCCCUGCCCCGUCUGCCUGAAGGCAGAAGAUGACACCCUUAGCAACUGUGUGACCCAAUCACUGUCCACCAACAAGGCGGCCUGCAGACCCAGAGAGCCCAGUAGAUUUGGCUAUAAAAACUCUCCCCUCUCCCCCUCUCUCCCCCUCUCUCCCCCCUCUUUCCCUGCUCUCUUUCUCUCUCCCUUUUUCUCUUCCUUCCCUGUUAAUCAGACAUUGGCACAAUAAAGAUCUCUUGG